rnacentral:rRNA from 1 species
CAGCAGCCGCCGCGGGAAUACGUAGGGUGCGAGCGUUAAUCGGAAUUACUGGGCGUAAAGCGUGCGCAGGCGGUUCGUUAAGACAGAUGUGAAAUCCCCGGGCUUAACCUGGGAACUGCAUUUGUGACUGGCGAGCUAGAGUAUGGCAGAGGGGGGUAGAAUUCCACGUGUAGCAGUGAAAUGCGUAGAGAUGUGGAGGAAUACCGAUGGCGAAGGCAGCCCCCUGGGCCAAUACUGACGCUCAUGCACGAAAGCGUGGGGAGCAAACAGGAUUAGAUACCCGUGUAGUCCCUGUCUCUUAUAC